rnacentral:tRNA from 1 species
GGCUUCGUAGCCCAGCUGAUAGGGCAUUCACCGCCUGUAAGGUGUUAUUUCUAUCGGUGAUUCGAAUCCAGUCGAAGCCC